AAAUUGAAGAGUUUGAUCAUGGCUCAGAUUGAACGCUGGCGGCAGGCCUAACACAUGCAAGUCGAACGGUAGCACAGAGAGCUUGCUCUCGGGUGACGAGUGGCGGACGGGUGAGUAAUGUCUGGGAAACUGCCUGAUGGAGGGGGAUAACUACUGGAAACGGUGGCUAAUACCGCAUAACGUCGCAAGACCAAAGAGGGGGACCUUCGGGCCUCUUGCCAUCAGAUGUGCCCAGAUGGGAUUAGCUGGUUGGUGAGGUAACGGCUCACCAAGGCGACGAUCCCUAGCUGGUCUGAGAGGAUGACCAGCCACACUGGAACUGAGACACGGUCCAGACUCCUACGGGAGGCAGCAGUGGGGAAUAUUGCACAAUGGGCGCAAGCCUGAUGCAGCCAUGCCGCGUGUAUGAAGAAGGCCUUCGGGUUGUAAAGUACUUUCAGCGGGGAGGAAGGUGUUGUGGUUAAUAACCGCAGCAAUUGACGUUACCCGCAGAAGAAGCACCGGCUAACUCCGUGCCAGCAGCCGCGGUAAUACGGAGGGUG
rnacentral:rRNA from 1 species